rnacentral:lncRNA from 1 species
ACCAAGAGAGCGGGCAGACAGAUUUUAUGUGAGAGAAAAGUUGGAUGCUCACGCUCCAUGGAGCAUCCUCGCGUUUCCCGGGGAAAAGCGGAUCCCGGAGAAGCAGCCUAAUCUCUCAGCCCUUGUGGAGAAGGGAAUAUCAGAAGCAGGACGAAAGCCAGGUCAAGUCUCUUUCCUUAGGCUCCCCAAAGGGACAAGUACUCACCUCCCAGAGACCUGGCCCAGCGGGUCCUCAUGGCAGCACCACCCCCUCCCGGUGCCCACGACCAUUCGUCUCCCAUCCGGCGUUCUCCAGGAUUUCCAAAGACGCCCGUUUAGAUCCACAGGGCUGGAAGACAGCUGUUCCUGGAUCACACCAGAAUGGAGAAGCAAGCUCCUCCCACUAGCAGAAAGCCUUUGCUUUCUGUGCCUGGAUUCGGAAGAUUAGUUAAGCACUGGAAGAGGAGGGGGGAAACAACAACUCGUUUUUGCUGUAUGUUUUUUUUUUAAUUGUUUUUAUAUUUAUAGAAAGUUAUGCUUUGUCUGAUUCUUGCGCUAAUUUGGGUUCUGAAAUUUGAGUAAAAUCAAAUUUAAACAUACAAAACAACUUUAAAACCACAAGGAACAGGAAGCAAAUGAUUAUACAUAAAAGACAUAUAGAAGAUAAUGCAUAUGUGUUCAGUGGAAAAUAGAAAAGCAUGAAAGUAAGAUCACAAAUAUUUAUUAUUUAAACUCUUCCUUGAACUAUUGGUCUGCCCUUUGGAAAAGCAGACUUUCCUUAAUGCAGUAGCUCAUAUUAAUAUUUUUUGUUUGCUUAGGACCAGAGCAAGAAGGUUGGACUUGGGAGCUAGUUUGCUGUCUGGCUUUGAGACCUUGAACAAGUUUUGUUCUCCUUCUGUUUCCAGUUUUCUUUUUUGUAAAUUAGGAGAUUAACUCAUGUGAUCACUCUAUUUUCAACUUUUUGUUAUGGGAAAUAUUCAAACAUAUGCAAAAGUAGACAGAAUAAAGGACUCUCAUGUGAAGAUCAUCCAACUUUUACAUUUUUUCAAUGCAUGGCUGAUCAUGUCUCAUCCAUAAGUCCACUCACUUUAUCACUACCAAUCCUCCCUCUUUUUUUUUUUUUUUUACCAAAUUCAAGCUUUAUAUAUAUCUUUUCAGCUGUAAACAUUCAGUAUGCAUCCACAAAAUUUAAGGACUGUUUAAAAAUAACCACAAUAUCAUUAGAUGAUUCUUUAAAAUUGCAGUGUAAUUUACACCUAGGGAAAUGCUCAGAUGUUGUGUCCCUUUAAAUCAGUUUUGAAAAAGCCAUGCAUUAGUGUAACCCACACUAUUUUGAAGACACAGGACAUUUUCAUCAUUCCAGACAGUUACCUUGUACCUUCAUGUGCAUAUUCUAGAAUGUCAUAAAGAUCUAAUCACGUAGUAUAAACUUUGUUUUAUAUUUGUCUGACUUCUUUUACUCAGUAUAAUAUUUGUGAGGUUCGUUCAUGUCGUUGCAUGAAUGGGUGUUUUGUUUUUUAUUGCUUUUUGUUGUUUCUUUUUACUACUGUUAAUAGUAUAAGUUUUCCAUUGUGCCUCUUUACAACUAGUAUCUCAAUAGAGUAUUACAACAAUUAUUUAAUAUAUUAUUUCACAUGACAUAUUUAUAGUAUAACCAUGACCUCCUUGAGACCUAGUGCUUUAAGUCAAAGAGGUAAAUAAAAUGAGAUAUUUUAGGUCUCAUUACAACAGACCAAUGUGAGAGAAUUAUUUCUGGACAGUUGCACUUCUUAUAAACGUUUAACAUGAUUCCAAACUUUUAUUUGGUAAUUUGUUAGUCCUUUGGCAAAGGACUAAUGUACUAUGUUAUUUAGUCAUAACAAGCAGAUCAAUUACAUUUUAUGUAACUUUUAUAGACAGAGAAACUGAGCUCCAAGAGUUUUGGUGAUAUGCUGAGAUCACCUAGCUAUUUUAAGUGGCAGAGCUGAGACAAUUUAGCAGAAACUGUUACAGAAGGCACAAUUGUCUCCUGAAUUAGCAGUUUGUGUCUGAAGCCUCACAGAUUGGGUGUGGUAAAGAGUGAGAAGGAAAAAGGUAGAACCCAGCUGUGUUAGAAAUAGCCUUCAAAUUUGGAUGUGACAAUGGAAAUCAAGAAGAACUUAUGUUAUUAUGAAACAGUUCAUUCAUAUUUAAAGUUUUGCCUUUUCUAUAUUGGUAUUCCUCAAUAGGGGGAGAUGAUUUCUUACUACCUACAAAAAAAGAAAACUGUAAACUAAUUUCGUUGUCAUUUUGAAUUACAACUAUAUGUUUAACUCUUGUCACUCCUUAAAAUGCCUUGAACACAGUAAACAUCCAAUGAACUUUUAAUUACACAUAAUAUUGAUAGUGAUAUUGCAUAUGUUCUAGGUCUGUAUUCUUAAGGAGGGAAAGCUGCUCAAGUACAAAGAAGGGAACUAGAAGUUAAAAUAAAGUUUUUUUAAUUUUUCUUUUCAUUAUUGAUGGACAGCAUGGUCUUCAGUAAAUCUUUAGCCUCUCUGAAUAUAACGUUAAACUAAUUGAAUGGCUUGUACCUCAUAAGAAAUAUGAAGUUAUGAAGUAAUAACAUAUUUGGAAGCAUUACUAACAUGCAUAUUCUGUUCAUAACUACAAUAUUCAUGUUUUGUUUUCUCUUUGCUAAGUGAAAUAUAAAUAUUUUACCAGACCAUUUAGAAAGAAAAAAACACAUUAAUGAGCCCAAGAAAUACACGCAACUCUGCAACUCUGGAGAUUUCCACCUGUUCCCAUCCUCCACAGUCUCCCAUCCCACCAGCAACACACGUGAGAUAUCUGAUGCCUUCCCAUCAAUAACUCUCACUUAGUAUGGGUAAGCAAAAAAUUUCCAACCAGGGAUGGAAGUUGUGGAGAGAUAGAGUGGGAAAGCUCAAGGAGCAUUGAUAGGGAUCAUUAAUUAAAAAUCUACCAAACAUCUCUUUCUCUCCCUAAUGUGCGAGUUACAAUAACAUCACUCAAAGCAGUUUGCAGCCACAGCUUGA